rnacentral:rRNA from 1 species
AAAAACAGAUAAGGGCAGACGGUGGAUGCCUUGGCUCUCGGAGGCGAAGAAGGACGUGAUAAGCUGCGAUAAGCUUCGGGUAGGUGCAAAUAACC